GAGAUGCACACAGGGAAGUGCCCCUGGAGGAGAAAAUGGCAACCCACUCCAGUAUUCUUGCUGGAAAAAUCCCAUGGACAGAGGAGCCUGGGGGGCUACAGCUCAUGGGCAACACUCUGAUGCAGACACGGAGAGGUUAAUUCGCCCAGGGGACACAACCAGUCAGAGCAGAACCAGCACUCAAACCCAAGCAGCCUGGCUCCAGACUCUGCUCUUAACCCAUCUAUGGAGUGAGGGCUUCCAGCACAGGCUCUGCAGGAGCUUGACCAGCAUGAACUCCCCUCUGGCCUCCCCUCAUGGAUGCAAGGGCAGAACUGCUCCCAGAAGGAGGCUGUGGUCAGCCCAGCACAGGACAGUGAAGGAGCAGAGAUACUUCUGGAAGGCCACCUCCCAGACUGGGCUUCAAGCCUAUCAAAUAAAUGCCAGCAGAGACCAAAGACUCCUCGAGCUGCCCAGGUCUUCCCUGGACUGACCUGAUGGGCCCCCUGAAAUGACCCUGUCUGGGUCUUCCUCAAGGUCCUCACACAGAGAGGUCAAAGCGCCACAACUCAGGGGGAAAUGUUUUUUCAAGCACAUCAGAAUACAGAAGCUUUUCACCCUGGCUGGGGGGAUGCUGUCUAUGUCAAACACCUCCAAGAGCUGGGACCCUCCAAAACCAGCACCGGCCAGGGCAUCAUCCAGGCCUCUGUUGGGACCCCAGCAUCCUGUGAGGGCCCACGCCCAGCCGUGGGUUUAACCGAGUCCUGGCAGAGUGGCAGGAGGGCUAGCCACCAGCAGGCACUGGAAUGCUCAAGUCAGCUGCCUCUUCGUGCCCAGAGCAUCCGCGACUUCCAGAAUGAACGGCAAGUGACAUGUCUUCGGAAUUCCACCUCUGAAAUAAAUCUCCAACAU
ensembl:lncRNA